rnacentral:rRNA from 1 species
UACAGAGGGGGGCAAGCGUUUGUUCGGAUUUACUGGGCGUAAAGGGCGCGUAGGCGGCGUGACAAGUCACUUGUGAAAUCUCCGGGCUUAACUCGGAACGGUCAAGUGAUACUGUCGUGCUAGAGUACAGAAGGGGCAACUGGAAUUCUCGGUGUAGCGGUGAAAUGCGUAGAUAUCGAGAGGAACACCUGCGGCGAAGGCGGGUUGCUGGGCUGAUACUGACGCUGAGGCGCGAAAGCUAGGGGAGCGAACGGG